rnacentral:rRNA from 1 species
CGGCAAAUGGGUGAGUAAUACAUAUGCAACCUGCCCGUAGCUGGAGAAUAGCUUCCGGAAACGGAAAUUAAUACUCCAUAAUAUUCUAGUAUCGCAUGUUAUUAGAAUUAAAGCUUCGGUGGCUACGGAUGGGCAUAUGUCCCAUUAGCUCGUUGGUGAGGUAACUGCUCACCAAGGCUACGAUGGGUAGGGGGUCUGAGAGGAUGAUCCCCCACACUGGUACUGAGACACGGACCAGACUCCUACGGGAGGCAGCAGUGAGGAAUAUUGGUCAAUGGGCGAAAGCCUGAACCAGCCAUGCCGCGUGCAGGAUGACAGUCCUACGGAUUGUAAACUGCUUUUCUGCAAGAAGAAAUGUUCCGACGUGUCGGGAUUUGACGGUACUGCAGGAAUAAGCAUCGGCUAACUCCGUGCCAGCAGCCGCGGUAAUACGGAGGAUGCAAGCGUUAUCCGGAUUCAUUGGGUUUAAAGGGUGCGUAGGCGGAUUAGAUAGUCAAAGGUGAAAGCCUGCAGCUUAACUGUAGAAGUGCCUUUGAUACUGCUAAUCUUGAGUACAGUUGAGGCGAGUGGAAUGUGUAGUGUAGCGGUGAAAUGCAUAGAUACUACACAGAACACCAAUUGCGAAGGCAGCUCGCUAAGCUGUUACUGACGCUCAGGCACGAAAGCGUGGGGAGCGAACAGGAUUAGAUACCCUGGUAGUGCACGCUGUAAACUAUGAUCACUAGCUGUUGGCGAUAAAUUGUCAGUGGCUCAGCGAAAGCGUUAAGUGAUCCACCUGGGGAGUACGAUAUCAAGGUUUAAACUCAAAGGAAUCGUCGGGGGCCCGCACAACACGGUGGAUACAUGUGGUUUAAUUUGAUGAUACGCGAGGAACGUUACCUGGGCUUAAAUGUAGCGAGACGUCUCGAGAAAUCGGGAUUCCCUUCGGGGCGAACUACAAGUGUGCUGCAUGGUUGUCGUCAGCUCGUCCCGUGAGGUAUCGGGUUAAGUCCCAUAACGAGCGCAACCCUAUUGUUAGUUGCCAGCGGAUAAUGCCGGGGACUCUAACAAACCUGCCCGUGUAAACGGGAGGAAGGUGGGGAUGACGUCAAAUCAGCACGGC